GACAUGAUAUCGCAUGGGUGGGGCCGAGAGCGCCGCUGUCUCUCCCAAUCCUCUCUCGCCCUCCUUGCCCUCUUCCCAAUCCCCUCCACAUCCUCUCCUCCUCGCUCGCCACAUAUGCACGCUACCGGAGAAAGCGGAGGUCGUGGUGCGGGCCUCGUGUGCGCGCAACGGAGGAGGACGGGUGCUUCGGUGGUGCGUGCGCGCUCGGUUGAGGAGGGCCUGGCUUUCGGUUGUCUGCGCACGCGCGGCUAAAGGAGCGCCGGGCUGCGGUGUACGCGCGACUGAAGGAGUGAUGGGAUGCGGUGGUGCGUGCGUCGGAGGAGCGCGAGGCUGCGGUGGUGCGUGCGGCGUGUCUGCGGAAGGCGGAGCUUGGUGCAGAACGCAGGUCGCUGGUGACGCUGCAGUGGACUUGUUGUGGAAAUCGGGAGCAAGUUAUGAUAUGUAAACAAAUUUGAGGCGAGGAAGCGGAGGCCGGGCCAAGGAACUGGGGGCAGCGGCGCUAGGGUUGCCUCCCGGAGUCGCCCGCGGGAGCGACUCGGGUAGUAAGGGCAUUUAGCAAGACCCUCCUGCAGUCAACCCAAACGCCGAUCCUCCCCAUGCCGACACAUGGCAUCAAACAGAGUUGCGGAAAAUAAAAUCUCUGAAACUUUCUUUUUUUCAAUGUUGCUUUAUGUUCCCUUUUCCAUGGUAUUAUCAAUGAAGAAUAGCAUUUCUUUAUGCUCAUUCCUCCUUUUUUGAUUUAUCGCGGUUGCCUCAAAAUGUUGCAAAACUUGCCUCAAUUUUGUUUGUGUGUUUUUUCAAUGGCAAAAGAAUGGCUCGGAAAGCAAAAAGGGUGUUCAGCAAGAUACCCCCAGCAGUUAAGCCCGACGCUGAUCCAUCUCCUGCCAUCGAAGAGCAUCAAAUAGAGGCACAAAUCAGUAUGCCCAUAAUUUGGUACAAGUGUCAGAGAGGGACUAAGGAAAUCGUGAUCCACGGAAGCAUCCCACAGAUAUCAGACAUCAAUGAGAAUCUAUCCCAAGAACUUGUGCCCAUAAUGCACAUAAUUGGGUACAAGCUGCCGGGGCAACAAAUCGUUCUUUGAAGUAGUGGUGGGAAAGCAGCCUUUGGACAGAUGUUGAAAGCGUUUUGGGGAUGGAAAUCUCACCAAAUAUAAGAGGAAUAUCAUUCUAUGUUUUCUGUCCCAUAAAACAUAAAGUACCAGUAGCAGCAAUAGUCAAUUGGAACACAAUCUAUUUUUAACUUUAUUUCUUACUAGUUUUAUCCUACUUGUAGCAACAGCGCACACCUUUUUUUUGCGCCAGUUUGGUCAAUUCACGUCGUGUGUUUGAAUGAUGCACCCCACAUUCUAUUUAUGUUUUUUGCUUUUUUUUUUGUGGCCUAGUACUACAUUUUUCACGUUUGCUUCAUUCUUGGUUGUUGAAGGGGGGAGCGAGGAAAGCGGCCGUAGCUUUCUCUCUUUCCUGUGGAAAAAGUCGCGCGCCCUUUUGUCUUUUUUACAGGCCCCACCCCAAAAGACCAUGUUCAAAGCUAUCAAACUAAUGCCCAAGUAAGGAAACCUCCACGAGCUGUCACCAAGUACUUUCCAUGGGCGCAGUCCAAAAUCACUGUAGGAGAUGAGAGAAACAAGGGGAAACACAAGGAGGGAGAAGUGGCACCCACGAUGAACAAAGGUCCUUGCGAUGGGGUGGAGCCAGGGGAAGGGUUUAGCUGCGGCAUGUUUGCGUCUCGCAGGGUGGAUGGGGGAGAGACGGACCAACGCUUUUCUCGUGUCGCGGGCGAUCGGCGGGACGCGCGAGACGAUGGCCCCUUUCUUUCCAAAUCUGGACCCAGGGGGACCGAAACAUUCCUUAAACGGGAGGCUGCCAGCGGGUGCUAGUGGGCAAACGUUUGCCCGCUAGACGCGUCCUACAAAUAAACCUGCAGUAUAAGCUACGGCAAUAAUUUCUUACUAGAACUCAGUGCGAAAGCAAAAUUUACAUCAAAGACCUGUUUGGUUAAUUUCUUACUAGAACUCGGUGUGAAAGCAAAAUUUACGUCAAAGACCUGUUUGGUUGCUAUAUGUGGCCCGGCUUAGCUUGGCCACCUCGUUUGGUAGUCUGCAUUGAGUCAAUGGUUAUUUUUGUGCCUGCUAAUGAGGGGUUGGAACCCAAUAACACAAGUCUUGGGCAUCACAUGCCCCUAAUCAACAUCAGUUUCACGA